ACAGCCUGCAGGUGAGAUGCUUCUCAUGGCCACAUCACAUCAUGUCUGGGAGAUACCCAUGGAAUGAGUAAAUCUCAAAAAAGUGGCUUUGAAUUUGAGCUUCAAUAGAAUCUUGAACAAAGAAAAGUACAUUUUUAGAGAUGUGACAAGAGACAAAGGAAAAGGACUUUAAUGCUCUAUGGGUGGCAAUUUAUAGGAAGGCAAAUGACCUUCAGAUAAACUCUGGCAGAGGCAAGGGCCUCCAGCCAGCUAAUGUGAUGGACACGGUAUCUGGAGAGUCCUGCAUUUCAAAACUUACUCUAAGGAAGACUGCUUUGAUUUUCAAAGUCUCUAGUCUACAGAGAGAUUGAGCUCUGGCUGCAAGACACUGUCUAUCAUAGAGCCACAUGGCGACAUUGCCGUAGAGAAGAGACAUAAAUAACCACAACUGCCAGAAAAUAAAGCUGGUAAUCUCUAGAAAUGCCUGGAUACAUUAAAAUGAAAUAUAACCCAGUACUCUGGUUCUUUAGACCCCGUUGAAUACUUUGUUCUCAGUCAGCUGAUAAAAUUUUAAUUUAUUAUUGCGUGUUUAUGAUGAAAUGUAACAUAACUCAUUCAUUGUGUCUGUUAAUCCUCUCAUUCAUAAAAAUAGCAUAUGUGUUGAUGAUCUACAUUAAAGUAAUUGUUUACCAUGGGUAGUAUUAUAGCGAUAAUCUAUAAAUAAUGUGAAAGUUUGUAGAAAAUUAAAGUAUAUAGAACUGUAGAAAGAGAUAAAUCUUUAAAUAUUUAAGGUUUUGAUCUGCUUGUAUAAUGAACUGGUGUUUUAGCCAUUUGAGCCACCUAGUGGUAAUAUACAUGAGAUAUGAUUUCUUAUUCUGAAAAAAAAUGUAAAAGUUUAACAGUUUCCAAUUUAAAAGGAAUAAACUAAGUAAAGCGAAUCAUAAC
rnacentral:lncRNA from 10 species